AGAAGUUUUUGGUUAAGGUUUUGUAUGUAAGCUGGUAUCUCAGUAUCCACUAAUGGGAAUAGACAGAAACUUCACACACUUGUCCACUGUCAUGAGCUGAUAUAAAACACAAUGCAGGGCAGGUUCUAUAAACCUGUUUCCUAUUUGUACAAAUUUAUGCCCCUUUUUCGACUUUAUAAUUUAUUCAGUUGGAAAUGUUGUGAUAGUCGAGCGUUGAUGUCCUCCUACAGCUCUUGUUGAUACCUGUUAUUGCAAAUCUAAAUCAUGCAGAAGUUUCAGUUAUGCAAGGUGUUAGGUUAAGGUGUUAUAAUCAUUGGUGUAAAUAUGUUCUAAAAGUUCCUGGCAUCUCUGGUCAGAAUAGAGGCAUAGCAUUGACUUACAUUGAUUCUGACUAUUUAUUGAAAAAUCGGAUUAACUCCUCUGUGUCUGCUAUACUUACAUGCUAAUCGUAAAGAUAAUAACAAUGCAUAAAUUAUCACUUAUUUUUGGUAAGCGAAGGCUUUCCACAUUUUUUAGAAGCCAAAAUUGUACAUUUUGCCAUACAAUGCAAGCAAAUACAUGUAGAUUUAUUAUUUUAUAAUUUUUGAUGACACUGCUUGAACUUAAUAAUUUGGUUUUAACAUAUUUUAUUCCUAACAAUAUACGUAAUUAUAUUUACACUGUUUAUUUAAAUAUUCGGGAGGAGGGCCAUCCUGUAAAAAGCUGUCCGUGGUAACCGAAGCAGUGGAGGCAGUGAUAGUGAAAAAUGCCUGCAACACCAAGGGAGUUGUUGGUUCAGAUCUGGACACAACACCACUACAAAUUAAUAACUUCAAUGGCAGCAUAUCAUCUGCAGUAGCUGUGGAGGAAGAUGAGCUGUCAAGGCCUUGUGACAGUAGGACUACACAUGUUAGUGUUCCUGAUACAGACGUAGUAAAUACUCUUGAAGAGGAUCACACAUCAUUCAGAACCAGAUAAUGAUAUGAGUAGAGUACAGUUUAAGAAAUGUCUUGGCAGAACAGAUACUAAGGAAAUAAUAAAGAACAUAACAGACCACAUUUCUCCUUCUUAUAAAUAUGGCUGGUAAAGUUCCAAGUAAGAGCGAGUACAAUGCAGCCCCAGUGAGAGUUAGUGAUGAGGUGUCAACUGUAAAUGUGUGGUGGUUAAAUGAUGUGCAGUCAGAUUGACAAGUAACAUUAAUUUAUAAACCAGUUCUGAGAGAAAUUUUUGCUGAGCUUUGUGUAGGAUACUCUUAAAAAUACAUGAACUAUGAUUUUAUAUUAUAAGUACAA
rnacentral:lncRNA from 1 species